rnacentral:rRNA from 1 species
UACGGAGGAUGCAAGCGUUAUCCGGAAUGAUUGGGCGUAAAGGGUCCGCAGGGGGCAGUGUAAGUCUGCUGUCAAAGAAUGAGGCUUAACCUCAUCAAGGCAGUGGAAACUACACAGCUAGAGUACGGUCGGGGUAGAAGGAAUUCCUGGUGUAGCGGUGAAAUGCGUAGAGAUCAGGAAGAACACCGGUGGCGAAAGCGUUCUGCUAGACCUGUACUGACACUGAGGGACGAAAGCUAGGGGAGCGAAUGGG